UAAGAGCAACGAUAGCAAAGGGGAUCACCUGAUACCAUUCCGAACUCAGAAGUUAAGCCCUUUAACGCCGAAAAUACUAGAGAUAGGAAGAUAGGAAGUUGCUUUUU
rnacentral:rRNA from 4 species